rnacentral:rRNA from 1 species
AGUGAACGCUGGCGGUAGGCCUAACACAUGCAAGUCGAACGGCAGCACAGUAAGAGCUUGCUCUUACGGGUGGCGAGUGGCGGACGGGUGAGGAAUACAUCGGAAUCUACUUUUUCGUGGGGGAUAACGUAGGGAAACUUACGCUAAUACCGCAUACGACCUACGGGUGAAAGCAGGGGAUCUUCGGACCUUGCGCGAUUGAAUGAGCCGAUGUCGGAUUAGCUAGUUGGCGGGGUAAAGGCCCACCAAGGCGACGAUCCGUAGCUGGUCUGAGAGGAUGAUCAGCCACAGUGGAACUGAGACACGGUCCAGACGCCUACGGGAGGCAGAAGUGGGGAAUAUGGGACAAUGGGCGCAAGCCUGAUCCAGCCAUACCGCGUGGGUAAAGAAGGCCUUCGGGUUGUAAAGCCCUUUUGUUGGGAAAGAAAAGCAGCAGGUUAAUACCCCGCUGUUCUGACGGUACCCAAAGAAUAAGCACAGGCUAACUUCGUG